GAUCCCGUAGGACUCCUUUGGCUGUCGUCCCAUCAGAACUCCUCUCUUCAAGGAGAGACGGCUCGAUGGUGCUCAGAUGGAGAGAGCGCUGUCAGAGGAGUGGCAUGUGACUAAUCAGGUCUGGGCUCGGCUCCCUGCUUCCCAAACCCUAUUCUGCUGAUUCAAAAGGCCACUGAGACUCCGUGGUAAUGGGAAAGCAUGAUGGGAAUCAGAGAAAGUCGAGAAGUAUCGCAGCUGAUGUAGCUUUCCUUGGCGUCUGACAUAAUAUGGGUGAAUCAACAGGCCUGUGCUAAUUACGGUUAGCAGGACAGACUCCCCUCUCCCACUGCGACGGGCUUCAAGGUCCCUCCGGAGCUGCAACACACCGGAUGGUCUGCCAGCAGCCACAGACCGCUCCACCCAUUGUCCGCCUACCCACAGAGGAAUCAGCUGAUUCGUCUUUCUAUCCAUCCGGUGUGCAGAAAACAGAAGAACUUUUGCAACACAUGUAACAACCUAAUCUUGACUGUAAUGUGAUUGCUGAAUUUAGUGCAGUAACUCAUUGGAUUACAGCAUUAUUGAAAAAUGUAACGUAAUUACAGUCACGUGUUACUUUGGAACAUCUUGUGCCCAGAAUCAGUUUUGGAAACAUUCCAAUAAUCUUUUCUCCCUUUUCUUACAAUUCAGUCAUCCACCCAUGAACACAGACAUUUACUAUAUUAAGCUAAGUGAGGUUGUAUUUUGUCAAUAGUUAGCGAGCUAGCUAGUUUGAGGAAAUAGGUAUUUUGCAAAAAGCAAAAUUGGACUUCACAUGUGUUGAAAGUGGACUGCAUUCACUUUCAACACAAAUAACGGUUAAAAAAAAAAAGAAGAAAAAACUACCAGGUAGCUUUUGGAGGGUUACUCUAGUUAGGCUAACUGUUUUGAGUUUGCCACCUUGGUUGCUAAGA